rnacentral:rRNA from 1 species
GAUGAACGCUGGCGGCGUGCCUAAUACGUGCAAGUCGAGCGAACAGAUGAGGAGCUUGCUCCUCUGACGUUAGCGGCGGACGGGUGAGUAACACGUGGAUAACCUACCUAUAAGACUGGGAUAACUUCGGGAAACCGGAGCUAAUACCGGAUAAUAUAUUGAACCGCAUGGUUCAAUAGUGAAAGACGGUUUUGCUGUCACUUAUAGAUGGAUCCGCGCCGCAUUAGCUAGUUGGUAAGGUAACGGCUUACCAAGGCAACGAUGCGUAGCCGACCUGAGAGGGUGAUCGGCCACACUGGAACUGAGACACGGUCCAGACUCCUACGGGAGGCAGCAGUAGGGAAUCUUCCGCAAUGGGCGAAAGCUUGACGGAGCAACGCCGCGUGAGUGAUGAAGGUCUUCGGAUCGUAAAACUCUGUUAUUAGGGAAGAACAAAUGUGUAAGUAACUAUGCACGUCUUGACGGUACCUAAUCAGAAAGCCACGGCUAACUACGUG